GAACAUUUAUCCAUCUUGAUUGAUUUCUUCGAUCGCCACCACCCAGUUCAGUUCUCCGUCAGUUUCUCCCGUCUCCGCCGCGCUUGCCCCGCCCGAAUCUGUCGGCAACUUUUCACGUCGUUUUACAGGUGGCGGCAAGGUUUUUCGCGACCAGAAAUUCGCGACACAAUGGGCAGGCGCAACAGCUGCACGAUUUAUGUAGGCAAUCUCCCUGGGGACAUUCGUGAGAGGGAGGUUGAGGAUCUCUUUUACAAGUAUGGCCGUAUUGUCGAUAUUGACUUGAAGAUUCCUCCAAGGCCUCCUGGUUACGCUUUUGUUGAGUUUGAGGAUCCCCGUGAUGCUGAUGAUGCAAUUUAUGGCCGCGAUGGGUAUGACUUUGAUGGCUACAGGCUGCGGGUGGAAUUAGCUCAUGGUGGAAGAGCUCAAUCUUACUCGUACGAUCGCCCAAGCAGCUUUAGCAAUGGACGCCGUGGAGGUGUUUCUAGGCGCUCUGAGUUCCGAGUUAUGGUUGAUGGUUUACCUUCGUCAGCGUCAUGGCAAGAUCUCAAGGACCAUAUGCGACGGGCUGGCGAUGUCUGUUUUUCUGAUGUAUACCGCGAGGGCGGAGCAACCGUUGGAGUUGUGGAUUAUACAAACUACGAUGACAUGAAAUAUGCGAUUAGGAAGCUCGAUGAUACAGAGUUCAGAAAUGCAUUUUCAAGGGCAUAUAUCAGGGUGAGGGAGUAUGAUGCUAGAUCAAGAAGCAGGAGCCGUAGCCUCUCUUACUCAAGAAGUCGCAGCUAUAGCAGAUCUGUCUCUCGAUCACCCUUACCUAUGGAUGAAAGAUCUGGCCAUGCGGCGAUCUGGGGACUGCUUCCAUAGAAAAUUGGAUGCGUUGAGUUCAACAUGAUGGUUUGGAACUAUGGAUAGUAGAGCUGGAUUAUCAGCAUGUAUGGCCAGUGAGCAACAAGUCCUAGGAGCAAGAUGGUCCUGAUAGUAAGGAUAUGUGGAGUGGGUCUUGUGAGGUUGGCAUUAACAACUGGAUAGAGAAGGAUGAAGGGCAAUGGUUUUAUGGGGCAAGUGUACAUGCAAAGAGGUUGGCAUGACAAAUGUGGAUGUAUGUCUUGGUUACUUUCUAUGUUCAGUUUCAUAUUCAGUAGUCACAUCUGAUGGUAGGUAUAAAGAGCCAAAUGCAUAAAUAUGCACUGUGAUAUCGCUCUCGUAUAAUCUACUUAGGCUGUUAUAUUCCAUAGAGGAUGGGUAUGGUUGUCAGAUUGGUUUUGGUGUUAAUUUUGGAUUACGCAACACUUCUGAGUAAUGAACUUGGUUUCUGAAACAUUUUGCAGGUCACCAUCAAGAUCUCGGUCUCCUGUUUCAUUGGUUUCUGGAAAAUCCGUGAGCAGAAGCCCUCGGAGCAGGAGCUUAUCCCGCUCUGCAUCUCCUGUGAGGUCGGAUUGAUAUUGGGCGCACCUGGAAGCAGCGAGUGACUACUUCAGGAUUGCAAGUAUUCAUCGUAGGUGGUCGCAUAUGUUCUAUCAUGUCCUGCAUAACGCUAUGUUUGCGAGACUGGAGCAUUGCGCUUAUCAUGAUGCCUGUCUGUCUACUUGUUAUGUGCUCUGUUCUCAGAUUUAGAGCUGUACUUGUAUAUUCAGGGGAGACCUGUACCUUUUCUUGAAUGACUUGGAGAUUGAUCUGCAGUUUGUGGUAACUUGAAUUAAGAGGAGACCUGUACUUUGUGGUAAUGUGUUAUGUUGUCACAUUA